rnacentral:lncRNA from 1 species
UACCAUGAUUGAUUAGCAUGAUCUGUCACCACAGGAGAGGGACAAUGCAACCAUCAGCCUCAGCCUCUCUGGGGUAAUUCAUGGAUCAAAAAAACAAACAAACAAAAACCCCCCAAAAACAUGCACUUCACAUUUUUUUUUUAUGAUGCAUUUAUGGAGACAUGUAAAUUGUCCUUGGUUUGCACUAUUUUAUUUGCAACCUUUGUCGUUUUAGGAGAGAUCUUGCUUUGCAUUAACCGCAAAUAUCGACAAGAGUAAAACAAAGCAAACAACAGAAAGAACUUAUUGUUUGUUUGUUUUUUUAAACCAAAGCUGCCAAAGGCUCGAUGUUGAUGGAAAGCUCUGUGUUUUUCUUUGGCAACUAGACCUGGAGGGCUGGGGCUAGAAUUCAUUCCCUUCCCAGGACGCUCCCCCAGGGCCCCACUCUACGCCCGCAGAGGGCUCUGUGGUUACUUUUCAUAAGCUGCCAUAAUUUUCAAAGCCCAAAGGGCUCAUAAUCAGAUUUGGGAAAGCUGCUCUAUUUGUAAGCGUCUGAGGCUGGCUUUCAGGAGGUUGUUCCCUGAAGGGAGCGAUGAGUGACAGCAAAGACAUCCUUUUUUCCCCACUUGGGGAUAAUCCUUUGUUUAGCAGGUCUUUGUUGUUGCGGAGGAAGUUUACUUAGCUUCUGAUCCCACUGGACUGAUUCAGCAACUACGCCAACUAACCACCCCCCCCCACGCAACACCUUUGCACCCACGGAUGGAAGCGGACUCCCUGGCAAGGGGGUGCAAAAUCAGGGCCAGCCCGGUUGGUGCACCCUUAGUUUUUAGGAAGAUCUUUUUUCUCUUGGGGCUUACGGAUUGUGUUCACCCACCUGCAAACUCAGGAUCACGCAAAGGGGAACUGUUUCCAGCUGCGGUUACAGCACAGUGCCUUCCCCGCACGAGAAAGAGCCUCCCCUGCAAAGAAGGAGCUCUGCUGCUCCGUUGCCUUCUUACCGCCACUCCUGCCUCAAGAAACAAGACCAAACAUCACAAAUGUAGAUCCUAAAUCCCGCUCAGCUCCUUAGUGUCAAUCAAGUGCGUCUCCAGCAAGGCUUCUCUCCCCGAUUCCUUUUCACAGCGAGCCCUUAUACAAGCUUCUUCAAGGACACUCUUUACUUUGCCUUGUUGAAUCCCCAUCCUGAAGUAUCGUUUUAGUUCUUGCUCUUCACCAUUUCUUCCUCAGUUUCCAGUGUCAGGUCCCUUGAUUCUUGUCUUCAUGAAGGACGACAACUCUAGGAGUUCCCUGGUGGCUCAGUGGGUCCCUGCUUUGGGGCGUGUUCCAUCCCUCACUCUCAAACUUCCACAUACCCCAGGUGUGGCAAAAAAAAAAAAAAAAAAAGGGGCAAUUCUACUGACCCAUCAUUAAUAUUUUCUAAGCUAUAUCAUCCUAUUAAUUAGAGCUAACAUUUAUUGAGCACUGACACCAUUUCUCCUACUUUUCUAAGAGUUUUUUGUGCAGUAAGUGUAAUCUUUGCAAAAACCCUGCAUAGUUAGUGGUAUUAUAAAUUGCAAGUUAAAUAUGAGGAUGCUGGGAGUUCCCAUCAUGGCUCGGUGGAAACGAAUCUGACUAGUAUCCAUGAGGAUGCCGGUUCGAUCCCUGGCCUCAUUAGUGGGUUGGGGAUCUGGCAUUGCCAUGAGCUGUGGUGUAGAUCACAGAUGUGGCUCAGAUCCUGAGAGGUGCUGUGGCUGUGGCAUAGGCUGGCAGCUGCAGCUCUGACUGGACCCCUAGCCUGGGAACCUCCAUGUGCUGCCAGUGUUGCCAAAAAGGAUGCUAAGACUCCGAGAAGUUAAGAAACUUGCCUAAGGUCACACCGAAUACUUCAGUUUUCCAAUUCUGUUUAGCUGUUGCCCUAAAUUAACCACAAUCAUUGGCAAGAAGGAUCAAACUUGCAGGAGACAAUCUGGGGAGAGUAGGUCAACCUUUGGUUGUGAAAGAAAGCUUUCUCAUAUGAUGUUUAUUGCUAGGCUGGGGCAUGUGGGUUUUGAAUCCUUGGGCCUUGUUUGAUGCUAAGCUCCAAACGGCUGAAUUCACCGGCCAGUGAGGGGUCACAUAUUUGCAAAAAGGAAAACAAUCAUCACCUCUACCUAGUGUGGGUUUCACUAGCCAAAUACAACUUCUUGUUUCAUGGCUCAAGAAUUCAAGUAAUAUUUUUCCUUGAUUAGCAUAGUUCCUCCAAAUCCCCUCCCACCCCAUCAUCCUGGGCACAGACCCUUUUAACUGUGCACUUCUGUGCACUUGACCUCUAAGGUGCCACCAAUGAUGGUUUCUUUGUAUCUGUUCCUGGUGCACACUUCUCCAAUAGGGACAAAUGUCUUCCUAAUUGAUGGAUUUUCCACCAUUUUACCUAAGUUUUUAGAAUCUGAGAAAUUCAGCUUACCGGUAAAAUACAGGUUUGCUUUUGUCUUAAAUGUAUUUCUAGACUUGAAGGGAUUUUUUUUUUUUCUUUCCAUUUUACAGCCACACCUGUAGUAUAUGGAAGUUCCUGGGCUAGCUGUCAAAUUGGAGCUGGAUCUGCAACUGCAGCCUAUGCUGCUGCCACAGCUACACUGAGCCGAAUCUGCAAUCUACACUGCAUCUUAUGGCAGUGAGGGCUCCUUAACCCACUGAGCAAGGCCAGGGAUUGAACUCGCAUCCUCACAGAGGCAACAUCAGGUCCUUAACCCACUGAGCCACCUUGGGAACUCUAAGAUUGUUUAAUUUUAAUCUUUUUUUUUUUUUUUUAAAGAUUGUUUUGUUUUUUGGUCUUUUCGGGGCUGCAUCCAAGGCAUGUGGAAAUUCCCAGGUGAGGAGGUCAAGUCAGAGCUGCAGCCACAGCAAUGUGGCAUCCAAGCUGCGUCUACGACCUCCACCACAGCUCACGGCAACCCUGGACCCUUAACCCACUGAUUGAGGCCAAGGAUCAAACCCGCGUCCUCAUGGAUACUAGUCGGGUUUGUUACCCAUGUAAGCCAUGAUGGGAACUCCGUUUAAUUUUACUCUUGAGAGGACAACCAUUGUCAAGUCAUGCGGAUAACUAUCUGCAAGCAGCAAUUGAUCACUGUUGAAGUGUGUUAACCUGUGUUCAGUUCUUUCCUUUGGCCUUGAAAUCCAAAUGUCUCACAGAGAGCAGUGUGUGACUCACCUUCCCUUGAGGAAGGCAUUUUGAUUGUCCUGGUCCCUCACUUACCUUGCAGCUGUUUGUGAGAUCACAGGCAGGGCCGAGCCUCUGGGAACCAACUCCCCAUGUCUUGUAAUUCUAGAUGAGCCAAGGCUGCUGGGGACUCUAUGAUGUCAUCCUUUGACAUAUUUCUGACUUCAGGAAGGGAGCCAGAGAGAAUGAAUAAUAAUUUCCUGUGCGGGAGCUGGGGCUGAAUGUGGGAUAGUUAACAGGUGUGGGAACAUCUAUAACUGUCCAGCAGCCCUUUUCUGAAUAGUGCUUUAUAAACUUAAUUAGUUCUACUUCCAAUGGAUUCAACUAUAGUGUUAGAAGAGAACUCCUAGGUCCAGGAAGUAAAUUAUGGAAGGCAACUAAUUGGCUUUGAUAAUUCUGCAAUCAGAAAACAUGUCUCUUGAGAUGUGCUCGAUGACGUUAGCAAUUUCCAUAACAUCUUUUUGGGGAUCUGUUUCUUAAGUUUUACUGACAAGUAUAGAUUGACUUUGGAAAAUUCCUGCUGAAGUUGGAGACAAAGCUUAUCCUUUAUUCUCUAGUUCUUUAGGUGACCAAAACAUCAGAGAAGGGCAUAAUAUGUUUCUUAAACACACUAUCCUUAGAAAGUAGGACAUGAUUUUAUAGUCCAUGUCACCAGGGACCGAAACUUGAAGGCAGGAAAUCAGUGAAUUGUGUUUUGCUCUUUUUCUUUUUAGAAAGAACUCCUUGCUAUGCUGUUGUAAGUUAAGGAUACUUCCAUAAGGAACAGAAAUAAAAAUCACUUUCUUUGCAGCCACCCGCUUUCUUCCGUCCCCGUCCCCUUGUGUGACCCCUUUAUUGCCAAGGGUUUAUGUUGCAAUUUCUUGAUCUAGUAAGGGAUUAUAAGUGCGUGAUUUGAAUUCUAUAUCGAGAGCUGUACAACUAGUUGAAUUUUGAUUUUAGCAGAGCAUUCACCAGUCAUAACGUUGCCGUGUGGCUUCUCUUAGCAACUUAUUGUCUUUCCUGUUCCCCAAUAUGCAGAUGCUUGCUUUUCAACUAGAACUUGAUUUAUCUCCAGAAAGUUGCCAGAAUAAACUUACUAUUUGUCAGCACAUUGGAAAAUAUUGCCCAGGUGCUUUUCAGCAGGGGUCAUGAUCUUUAGCCUCCUCUCCUACUUAUCCUCUCUACAAUCCUCAAGAAAGACUUCUCUAAAUGAAGCCAUUGCCUUGAAGUGUCCUUAGGAAUUUGAACAGAUUGAAACUGCCUGAAGCCAUGGGGUUUACUGAAUGGCUUUAAAAAAUUGACAUUUCAAAGAGCAGGGGAGGGAGCGGAGGAGGAGGCCUCCUUCGAAAGGAAGUGGCUCCACAGUUUCAGGGUUAACAAUAGGACAUUAUUAGUACAUAUGUUAUAGCUAUGGAUGCUUAGAAAUAGCUGUGGCAGCCUAGUGCAGAUGCUACUAAUUUUGUGUGUGUGUGUUGUACAACCUUGUAAGUUAAAAACAUUUUAUAUAUACAAGAGCAUGCCCCUCUGGAUAUGCAUUGCAAGCAUUUAUAAAUUCCAUUCAUGCCCUAUGAUACCAAUUUAUGAUGUAUGUUAAAACACACAUAGAAAUAUCCCUUCUUGCCCUCCCGUGAGUACUGUGCAGUGUAGACAGGAUCCUGGUGAGGAGUGAAGGGGGCAUUGAAAUUUUAAAAGAUGACAUGAAGAAUAUAAAUGAAUAGAAGUGCUGAUAUAUUCUCACUCUAUGCUACUGGGUACCCCUAUGGUGUGCUUUCCUCACUUUGGAGUCUAUUGCUCUGAAAAACAUAGUGAAAUAUACGGCCCUUACUUGAGUAUAUAAUCUUUACAAGAUAUUUUACUAUUUUGUAAUUUUAUUUUUGGCCACAACUGCAGCAUGUGAAAAUUUCCAGGGCCAAGGAUCCAAGCCAUGCCCUAGUUGCAAUGUGCACUGCAGCGGCAGCAGUGCCAGGUCCUUAACCUGCUGUGCCUCAAGGGACCCUCUGAGUAGAUAACUAAAAAAAUAUUUUAUUGGAGUAUAGUUGACUUGCACUAUCGUGAUAGUUUCAGGUGCACUGCCAAGUGAAUCAGUUACACUGCCAAGUGAAUCAGUUACACAUACGUAUAUCCAUUCUUGCCCUCCCUUGAGUAAGGAACAUGCAGCAUAGACAGGAUUCUGGUGUGGAGUGAAGCGGGCAUUGAACUGGGGUCUGGUACACAAGGGUUUUGGUCUGUCUUUCUAAGUAGCUCAGAGCUGCCACUCUGCAUUCCUUUGUAUUCUGUUUUGUCAAAUGAACAUGAGAAGGGUUGAAUUUCUUUAAUUCGUUUAUGAGGUUCUGGCCCCUGGGAAAUAUGACUGUGGUCUGGGGGAGCCCAGGAAGCUACUGUAGAGGAGAUUGUGGAAAUUGGCAGGACUCAGAUAGUCAGAAGGAGUCAGGGGUGGAGGCUGCUCUAGCAAAAGGCUGAUUCAAGGAUGAGGGUGGCAGGGCUGGGAAGCCACAAAGCAGAAAAGUUAGGGGCCAGAGCAAAAUGUUUUUAGGUAAGGAAGGAAUGAUGGGACAGAACUUGAAGCCCUCAGAGUGAAGUAGAGAAGUUCAGCUUGAUGCUACAGUCCCUUGAAUACUAGGAUAAUUGUAAUUUUUUUUUUCUUUAAACAGCCGCAUCUGCAGUGUAUGGAAGUUCCUAGUUCAAUAGGAGCUAUAGCUGUGACUUACACCACAGCUCACGGCAACACCGGAUCCUUAACUCACUGAGUGAGGCCAGGGAUUGAACCCACAUCAUCAUGGAUCCUAGUCGAAUUCGUUAACUGCUGAGCCAUGACGGGAACUCCGCAAUGCCAGAUCUUUAAUCCACUGAACGAGGCCAGGAAUCAAACCUACAUCCUCACCAACACUACGUUAAGUUUUUAACCCGCUGAACCACAACGGGAACUCCAGGAUAGUUGUAACUUUUAAAAGAAACAUUCUUGUGGUUGUGGCAUGUAGAAUGAACUGAAAGGGGAAAACAAGUCUGGAAUUAACCUUGUGGUCUGGAAGGCUGGUGCCUUGGUUCGUUUAUUCAUUUAGUCAAUCGAGCUUUCAAUGACUGAACAUUCGAUUGUGGCUUGUUUCAUGUAUGUCAGGGUAACAAGUAAGGACGAAAGAGUCAUGAUCUUUGCCUUCACAGAGCUUUCAGAAUCUAUUGAAGGAAUACAAACGAAACAAAAACUGAUAUUACUAUUUCCUUAAAAGCUGGGAUAAACACUAUAAGCAUGAAAAGCUUGCUGGUAAGGACAAGAAUAAAUUUGUUAUAAUUUUGGGAAAGAAGAGAGAGAGAGUACAUGUAACAGAGAUAGGAGAGGAAUAAUAACAUGGUUUGGAGGCAGAAUAAGAAGGAAGAUUGGGAGGUCCCCUGGUGGCUCAGUGGUUAACGAAUCUGACUAGGAACCAUGAGGUUGCGGGUUCAAUCCCUGCCCUUGCUCAGUGGGUUAAGGAUCUGGCAUUGCCGUGAGCCAUGGUAUAGGUCGCAGAAGCAGCUCAGAUCCCACGUUGCUGUGGCUGUGGUAUAGGCUGGCAGCUAUAGCUCUGAUUGGACCCCUAGCCUGGGAACCUCCAUAUGCCGUGGG